rnacentral:rRNA from 1 species
UACGGAGGGUCCAAGCGUUAUCCGGAAUCAUUGGGUUUAAAGGGUGCGCAGGCGGUAAAGUAAGUCAGUGGUGAAAUCUCUUCGCUCAACGAAGAAACUGCCAUUGAUACUGCUAUACUUGAAUAUAGUCGAAGUGGGCGGAAUGUGACAUGUAGCGGUGAAAUGCUUAGAUAUGUCACAGAACACCGAUAGCGAAGGCAGCUCACUAGACUAACAUUGACGCUCAUGCACGAAAGCGUGGGGAGCGAACAGG